GCGGGGGUUAUGCAAACGUAGCGCGGUGAUGUGAAAGAGAUGCUCUCAACGAACAGAGCAGCACUUACGCUUGAAUGAGAUACAAAGACAACGUGGACACAGAACUCUGUUUUUUCGUCGAUAAAACCAUCGCAACAUGGCUUCAAAGUGUCCCAAGUGUGACAAGACAGUGUAUUUUGCCCCCACACCAUAGAGGGAUAUCUUCAACCACCAACCUACCAUCCUGAGACAAGGCCGAGUAUAGCCCACAAAGAUCUCCGCCACGGCACAACCCAAGGGGGGGCGCCAACCCAAACAGGAAGAGCACGUCAGAAACUCAACCCACUCAAGUGACGCACCACUCCUAGGGACGGCAUGGAAGAGCACCACUGAGAAGGUGUCAUCACUGGGGAAGGACUGGCAUAAGUUCUGUCUGAAGUGUGGCCGCUGUAACAAAACCCUGAACGCAGGAGGACAUGCUGAGCAUGAUGGGAAGCCCUUCUGCCACAAACCCUGCUAUGCUGCCCUCUUCGGACCAAAAGGUGUAAACAUCGGUGGAGCAGGAUCCUAUGUGUAUGAAGCCCCCCUCAACAAUAGCCCGACCCCUACUGACGUGGACGCCCCUCCCAAACCUGAGGAGAAGGCAGCGUUGGCACCCAGGGCUCCUGUCAAAGCUUCCAGCAUCACUACCUUCUCUGGUGAGGCCAACCUGUGUCCCAGGUGUAACAAGAAGGUCUACUUUGCUGAGAAGGUGACUUCCCUGGGGAAGGACUGGCAUCGGCCCUGUCUCCGCUGUGAGAGGUGCAGCAAGACCCUGGCCGCCGGCAGCCAUGCAGAGCAUGAUGGCCAACCAUACUGCCACAAGCCAUGCUAUGCUUGUCUCUUCGGACCCAAAGGGGUGAACACUGGUGGUGUAGGCAGCUACAUCUACGAGAAGGAUGUCUGCACAGAGGCCCAGCCCUGAGCUGCUGCUGUCUGCCCCGUCCAGUCCCCAGCCUCCGAGACCAACCUGACUUCUCCAAUACUACUUCCACGAUCCAACACAGUGUUAUUAUCACUAGGCUCGCCUCUAUAGCUCGUUCUAUAAGCAGCCCAGAGACCUGAGACCCCGCCACUAGCCUCUCUUUCCUCCCCUUCAACCCCUGAAACAUGUACCACCUGGCUAUGCCCACCUCAGCCUCCUAGCACAGCGACCUUCUAAAUGACAUUUUAUUUACACGUACAAUAUAUAUAUUUAUUGAAAGCAAUUUAACCCUCAGUGGGUCCGUAGUGAAACCAAAAGCACCACAUUAGUGUAUGUGAAUAUCAUUCUCUCUCCCCACUAAAGCAUAAGGGCCAAGAAGCCCAUUCUUCACUUUUAUGAGUUCAUGAUCAGUUUAUGUCAUGUUUAUGUAUAUUUACGAGUGUGGAUAUAUACGCAUUACAACCCCACAUAAAAUGUAACUUUAAGAACUGCCAUAAAACAUAUUUUAUUUUCAUUUUAUUUCUCUUUAAGUACCUUUUUAACGGGACAGUUCAGCAUAGAUCCGUUGAGGGGGAGUUUAGAGACCGGGUGAAAAGUUUAAAAUAAUCCCUCUCUGUAAACAUAACACAUUUUAGGCUUUCCUCAGAGUAGUGAUACAUGGGGUUUUAAAGGAAGGUGCUGCAUUGUCACGGUAACAUGCUGACAGGCCAGGGGUAGGGAUCUAUCUCACCUGGGAGAGAGGGAGUAGUCUGGCUACAGGUGCAGAUGGUGCUGAUCAGGACAGCAUUUUGACCGUCCAACUACAUUCCUGAUCAAAUGGAUGAUAUUAAAAACUCUGUCUGUGGGGUUUAGGUUUCAGAAAGAGUCUGGAUGGUGUUAAGAUAUGUUAUUUUAGGGUGGUGGGUUUUUGAGGGUAGCCUGGUUCCAGAUUCCUGUUUUUCCAAUGGAUACCAUAAGAGUUUGCUCUACAGAACAAACACAUCUGGACCCAGGCUAUUCUGAGGGUCCUGUUACUGGUUUCGCAGGUUCAAUUGUGUAUGUACAGUACUGUAUAGAGUUCAGGCAUGAAAUCCUUUUUAAAUUGGUUUGAUUGACACAGGAUGUAUUUAUUGAUUGGUUAAGAAUAUACCAGUAAAAUUGCAUAAGGAAAUUGCAUUGUACUACAGCUAUGGGACAAAUGAAGGAAGGAAGGAAACUGAACAUAAGCUGUUCAGUGACGAAACAUAAACUUGUAGAAUAUAGACCAUCCAAAAGCUGUACAUUUCCAUAUGGUCAAAAUGUUAGUGUAGUGAGGAACCCUGAUGUAUUCCUCACUGACAUUACUAUGAGCUGAAGUAUUAUAGUUGGAAUUAGCCUAUAGAACCUUUGUGUGUCUGAAAUAGCACCUUGUUCCCUAUAUAGUGGCCUGGUCAAAAGGAUUCAACUACAGAAUAGGGUCUGAUUUUGGACGCACACAGAAUAACUGGCAGACACUACAGACAAAGCAUUCUGUUGGAAUGUGCCUUAGUAUUAUAUAUAAUAUGACUGUUAAUGAUUAUGAUGAUCAGUAGUUAUCUGUUUUGUGUAAGUAAGGCUUUGAAACACUUCAGGACUCGCUGUUUGUAAAGAAAAUGGCUACACUUCUUCAGUCCUGUUGCUUCUGUCUUUUGAACCCAUGAAUUAAACUUUCUAUCUAUA